UUACUUCUUUGUUAUUUUUUUACAUUUUCCCCUGAUUUCAAGGUUUCGAGCUGAAAACCUGAUGCCUUUUCAUUGCGCAAAAAUAUCCCGACGGAAGCCGCCGUUGGGAUACACAUGCCUUCAUUUUCUGUCGCCAGGAAACAUUUGGAAAAACAACGUGUUGUCUGGAAACUUUAGCAUCUUUUUGAGACUUCCCUGCAUUCACCCCGACACAAUACCGUUUCUCGUGUUGAUUCCAGCCCUCCCGUCCCUUUCCCUCCUUGUAUUAUUGUUAUGCAAGAGACUUGAACCUGCAAAACGUCACAUUUUGCAUUGGCCACACACCUUUUUUUUAAAGACCCAUUCAUCCUCGUGAUAUUUUGGUGCUAAAUUCGUAAAUACAGUAAUUAUAAUAUAACAUUACUGCAUAUUGAACUACUUUUUCUGUCAAAUUUGUUGUAUGACAUGAUGUUUUGGUGCUUAAUUUGUAAAAUCAUAACCUAAUUUGAUGUUUAAUAGGCUUUUCUUUAAUGCCUCCUUAUUAUCCAACAUAUUCGUUUAUCCAACGUUCUGCUGGCCCGGUUAUGUUGAAUAAGUGAGACUCUACUGUAGUAGCACAAUAAUAGAGAAAAAUAAUAAAUAUAAUAAUACAAAUAGGUAUUUGUUUAGGUUGAAUGUUUUUAUGUUGAAUGUUUUUAUGAUGAAUGUUUUCUAUUGUGGAAUGAUAUUUUAAAUUGUAAGUCGCUCGGAGCACUCUGGUGGAGAGCCACUAAUUAAGAAAUAAAGUGAAGUGAAGUGAAGUGAAAUAAUAAUAGAGAAAAAUAAUAAAUAACAACUCUUUAUUGAUUAGUCAGUUUUGACCAUAUCAAAACAUGUGAAACAUACAACAUACAAACAUACAUAAAAAUAAUAAAUGUACCAUAUAUUCUCGAGUAGAAGCUGACCCAAAUAUAAGCCAACCAGGACUCUCACCUGAGUAUAAGCCGAGGGGGGCUUUUUCAUUCUUAAAAAAAGGGCUGAAAAACUAGGCUUAUACUCAAGUAUAUACAGUAAGUUUUCCCAAUUUCUUGCGGUAAAAUUAGGUGCCUCGGCUUGAUAUUUGGGUCGGCUUAUACUCAAAUAUAUACGGUAUCCAUUCAACGAUAUUGAUGCUGUAUUCAGGACAUAUGACGUACAGUGUUGGUAUCUUUUGGACCGAAAUCCACAGAUGCAUGACUCCCAUUGUAUACAAGAUCCAUGCAACGGAUAUUGUAUGGACACUGCAGGGAUCAAGCUUUGGUAACUAUUGUUGUCCCUGUAUAUGAAUAUGGUCUUCAUAGCUCUAAGUAUCAAACCCUUUAGAAUAAAUCCUAAGACCUCCGAGAUGCAGAAGCCAAGCUUUUUCACCCCUGAGGAUUUCUAGCAACGGUGGGCAGCAUCCAGUCCGCAGAGCAACAAGUGCGGUGACCUUCCCGGGAAAGAAGGGAGCUUAGCCACUCACGUGACGUCCACGUUGCUCAGCUAAUCCGUAACAGUCUGCGAUGGGGUUUCUAUGUCCAGUUCUUUCACAUAUCCUUUUCGUAAUGUCAGUUGUGUAGCAUUGCUUAGGUGCUUUAGAAUGAAGAGUGUUGAAAGUGGGGCACCAGAAGGGCCAUGUAGUCCAACCCCUGCCAUGCCUGGUCAGUAAAGAUCUCCUGACCAUGCAACCUCCCCAUUUCUCCUCUCUGUUUCUACUCCUACUGAUUGUUUAUGUAGAAUAGAUACUCUGCAGAUGCAUGCCUUUUGACUUUCUACUUUUACAUCUUGGUGUGUGCUAUGUAUAUUGAGACCUCUUUCUGCUUUGUGUGUCCGGAGAGAUGUAGUGCUUGGUGAUUUUUCCGUUUUUUUGAGCCCUAGAACAGAUGGGGGUUGGUUAGAGUAGCUAGGACCCAGUUCUUUACUAUGAAGAAAUGUAUAUAUUAUUUCUGUAAAUAAAUCUUUUGUGAUUUUAAAGAAAGAUCUCUGGAUCUUUGCCUCCUAAGCUCUCAAUUCUUUACAGCCACAUGGCACUUCAUGCUCUGCUUGCUGUGAGCUGAAUGCCCAACUUUAAGUAUUCUGAACCCUAGAAGAGAUGGGGGUUAGUUAGUGUAGCUUAGACCCAGUUCUUUACUAUGAAGAAAUGUAUAUAUUAUUUCUGUAAAUAAACCUUUUACAGUUUUAAAGAAAGAUCUCUGGAUCUUUGCCUCCCAAGCUCUCAGUUCGUUACAGCCACAUGACACUUCAGGCUCUGCUUGCUGUGAGCUGAAUGCCCAACUUUAAGUAUUCUGAACCCUAGAAGAGAUGGGGGUUGGUUAGUGUAGCUUAGACCCAGUUCUUUACUAUGAAGAAAUGUAUAUAUUAUUUCUGUAAAUAAACCUUUUGUGAUUUUAAAGAAAGAUCUCUGGAUCUUUGCCUCCUAAGAUUCAUUACAGCCACAUGGCACUUCAGGCUCUGCUUGCUGUGAGCUGAAUGCUCAACUAUAAGUAUACUUUUUUGCAUAUUUUGGAUGCUCUGCUAUUUUUGGGUAUUUUUCCCUCCUAACAUCAUAGAAAAUCCUAACAAAUUAGAGAUUUUCAAAAGAGGAGAGUCUUGUUAUCCACCAAGGCGCUCUGAUUUUACUGUCAAAGAGUUCUUACAACCAAAGGAAUCUCUUUUCUUGUCAUUUGAAUCCCUGUGCUCAUGUUCUGGCUCCUGAAACAGCAGAAAACAUGACUGCUCCAUUUUUUAUACCAGUGGUUCCCAGUUAGGGUCUUCCAUGUGUUUGGGACUUCACCGCCCAGAUGUCCCAACUGUUAGGAUUUUCUCAGGUGAGUUAGGAAAAACUACCUAAUACUACUCAGUUCUUUAUUAUGAAGAAAUGUAUAAAUUAUUUCUGUAAAUAAACCUUUUGUGAUUUUAAAGAAAGAUCUCUGAAUCUUAGCCUCCUAAGCUCUCAAUUCGUUACAGCCACAUGGCACUUCACGCUCUGCUUGCUGUGAGCUGAAUGCUCAACUAUAAGUAUACUUUUUUUUGCAUCUAUUAGAUGCUCUGUUGUUUUGGAGUAGUUUCUCCUAACGCCUAGAAAAUCCUAACACAUUUCAUUAAAUUUCCUUUCAUGGUCAGGUGUCUAAGAGACUUUUGUGGGGUGGGAAGAGUUAAGAAUCAAGUUAUAACAUUUUAAAUCAAUAUUUUGCAGGCAGAGGAGAAAACUGAAUUCAGUUUCACACUCUUUUUCUCUCCCUCCACCCUUGGCUAUUCUUUAGGUGCA
ensembl:lncRNA